rnacentral:rRNA from 1 species
AGCGAACGCUGGCGGCAUGCCUAACACAUGCAAGUCGCACGGACCUUUCGGGAUUAGUGGCGGACGGGUGAGUAACGCGUAGGGACCUACCCAUGGGUGCGGGAUAACUCCGGGAAACUGGUGCUAAUACCGCAUGAUACCUUAGGGGCAAAGGCUCAACACGCUUGUGGCGGCACCGGGGUUCGUUGAUCUGGUGGGUGGGGUAAGGGCCUACCAAGGCGAUGAUCGGUAGCUGGUUUGAGAGGAUGAUCAGCCACACUGGGACUGAGACACGGCCCAGACUCCUACGGGAGGCAGCAGUGGGGAAUAUUGGGCAAUGGGCGAAAGCCUGAUCCAGCAAUGCCGCGUGAAUGAUGAAGGUCUUAGGAUUGUAAAGCUCUUUCGACGGGGACGAUAAUGACGGUACCCGUAGAAGAAGCCCCGGCUAACUUCGUG